ensembl:lncRNA
GAGAGAGUGAGAGAGGUGUUUGGGAGGGAGAGUGAGAGAGAUUGAGAUAGAGAGAUUGAGAUCGAUAGAGAGAGAGAGAUGUGGGGGAGGGAGAGUGAGAGAGAUUGAGAUAGAGAGAUUGAGAUAGGCAGAGAGAGAGAGAUAUGUGGGGAGGGAGAGUGAGAGAGAUUGAGAUAGAGAGAGAUGUGGGGAGGGAGAGUGAGAGAGAUUGAGAUAGGUAGAGAGAGAGAGAUGUGGGGGAGGGAGAUUGAGAUAGAGAGAGAUGUAGGGGAGGGAGAGUGAGAGAGAUUGAGAUAGAGAGAGAGAGCGGUAAGUGAUAUCCCUGUUCCAGUGUGCUUUCACCCCUCCCCUCUCCCCUAGGUAGAUAUCUAUCACCACUUUACACCCUCCUGUGUGUGUGUGUCUGUGUGUGUCUGUGUGUGUGUGCAUGCGUGUGUGUGCGUGUGUGUGUGUGUCUUUGUGUGUGUGUGUGUGUGUGUUUGCGUGCGUGCGUGUGUGUGCGUGUGUCUGUGUGUGUGUGUGUGUGCGUGCGUGCGUGUGUGUCUGUGUGUGUGCGUGCGUGCGUGUGUGUGUGUCUGUGUGUGUGCACCUGUAUGCGUGGUAAAUCAACAAGUUCAUCAACAAGUAAAUUAAUCAAACAGUCCUUCAACUAAUUAAUUAGUCACAAAAUCUAUGAAGUGAUCAGCCAGUCAUUAAUAAACCAUUAAAACAGACAGAGGAAACUAACUUGUUAACAGACUAUGUUUGGAAUAUUUAUUUUGCACACAGAAUAGAAUACAGUAGGUUGACUUUUGUACUAUGGGAGACAGUAGAUUGAUAUAGGCUAGUGUUUUUUUCUGUUCGUUACUCAACCUGUUGGCUGACGAAAAGUAAAUGUGGACAGUUCUUCCAAUAUCUUCAAUGUGCACCUCUGAAUUGGAUAAGGACGCGUGCAGUUGUGUCCCCAAUGUGUCUGUCUUCACUUGUAGCCUCCGAGAAAGACCCACACUUACAGUGCUAUGGCAAGAAUAACCAAGUCAACAUCAAGCUUUGUAGUGCUAGGACAAGAAACUAAAUAUGCACUAAGGGCGAGCCCCAGGACCAAGUUUGGAAAACCCUGGGUUAAACAGACACAGACAGACAGACAAACAGACAGACAGACAGACAGACAGACAGACAGACAGACAGACAGACAGACAGACAGACAGACAGACACAGACAGACAGACAGACAGACAGACAGAUCAGACAGACAGGUCUAUAAACCCUGGCUCAGUGGAUUACAUUACUCCUGAUAAUAAUGGAUCAGACUGGCAGAGCUGUUAUUCAACUGAACACAACACCAUUACACACACACACAUAAAGAGGCAGCGCUGCUAGCCAGCUGAACACAGCACCAUUACACACACACACACAUAAAGAGGCAGCGCUGCUAGCCAGCUGAACACAGCACCAUUACACACACACACACAUAAAGAGGCAGCGCUGCUAGCCAGCUGAACACAGCACCAUUACACACACACACAUAAAGAGGCAGCGCUGCUAGCCAGCUGAACACAGCACCAUUACACACACACACAUAAAGAGGCAGCGCUGCUAGCCAGCUGAACACAGCACCAUUACACACACACACAUAAAGAGGCAGCGCUGCUAGCCAGCUGAACACAGCACCAUUACACACACACACACACACAUAAAGAGGCAGCGCUGCUAGCCAGCUGAACACAGCACCAUUACACACACACACACA